GGCCUAGUGUACUCUACCUAUAUUGUGUGCCAGCAUCGGUUUGUUAGUCGAGAGAAAAAGGUAGUGUGUUGUCGAUUCCUCCGGGUAUUUGGCAUGCAUCUACAGGUACAUCUUGAACCCAGACCGAGGACAGCGCUUUUUGCANGGAUGCUGGUGUAAUGGUUGUAAGCGGCCCGUCUUGAAACACGGACCAAGGAGUCCAACAUCCAUGCGAGUGUUUGGAUAUCAAGUCCGUACGCGCAAUGAAAGUGAAUGCAAGUGGGAACUCAUUUAUGUGUGCACCAUUGACCGAUCUUGAUCUUUNGAAAUGGAUUUGAGUAAGAGCAUGGCUGUUGGGACCCGAAAGAUGGUGAACUAUGCCCGCGUAGGCUGAAGUCAGGGGAAACCCUG
rnacentral:rRNA from 1 species